AACGAACGCUGGCGGCAUGCCUAACACAUGCAAGUCGAACGAGACCUUCGGGUCUAGUGGCGCACGGGUGCGUAACGCGUUGGAACCUGCCCUUAGGUUCGGAAUAACUCCCCGAAAGGGGUGCUAAUACCGGAUAAUGUCUUCGUACCAAAGAUUUAUCGCCUUUGGAUGGGCCCGCGUUGGAUUAGAUAGUUGAUAGGUUAAAAGCCUACCAAGGCGACGAUCCAUAGAUGGUCUGAUAGGAAGAUCAGCCACACUGGGACUGAGACACGGACCAGACUCCAACGGGAGGAAGCAGUGAGGAAUAUAGGACAAUGGGCGAAAGCCAGAUCAAGCAAUGACGCGUAAAUGAUGAAGGCCUUAGGGUUGUAAAGCACUUUUAGACGGGAAGAAAAUGACAGUACCGGAAAAAUAAGCUCCGGCUAACUCCAUG
rnacentral:rRNA from 1 species